rnacentral:rRNA from 1 species
GAUGAACGCUGGCGGCGUGCUUAACACAUGCAAGUCGAACGGAAAGGCUCCUGCUUGCAGGGGUACUCGAGUGGCGAACGGGUGAGUAACACGUGGGUGAUCUGCCCUGCACUUCGGGAUAAGCCUGGGAAACUGGGUCUAAUACCGGAUAGGACGAUGUUUUGGAUGCCAUUGUGGAAAGUUUUUCGGUGUGGGAUGAGCUCGCGGCCUAUCAGCUUGUUGGUGGGGUAAUGGCCUACCAAGGCGUCGACGGGUAGCCGGCCUGAGAGGGUGUACGGCCACAUUGGGACUGAGAUACGGCCCAGACUCCUACGGGAGGCAGCAGUGGGGAAUAUUGCACAAUGGGCGCAAGCCUGAUGCAGCGACGCCGCGUGGGGGAUGACGGCCUUCGGGUUGUAAACUCCUUUCGCUAGGGACGAAGCGCAAAUGACGGUACCUGGAGAAGAAGCACCGGCUAACUACGUG